rnacentral:rRNA from 1 species
UACGGAGGAGGCAAGCGUUAUCCGGAAUGAUUGGGCGUAAAGCGUCCGCAGGUGGCUAUGUAAGUCUGCUGUUAAAGAGUGAGGCUCAACCUCAUAAGAGCAGUGGAAACUACAUAGCUAGAGUGCGUUCGGGGCAGAGGGAAUUCCUGGUGUAGCGGUGAAAUGCGUAGAUAUCAGGAAGAACACCGGUGGCGAAAGCGCUCUGCUAGGCCGCAACUGACACUGAGGGACGAAAGCUAGGGGAGCGAAUGGG